rnacentral:lncRNA from 1 species
GAGGCACCGAUCAACGCUCCGUCGUCGCCCAAGGGGCCCUCCCUGGCCACAGGCUCUGGAGUCCAGUGCCU